AGGAAGACGCAACAGGGAUUGCCUCAGUAACGGCGAGUGAAGCGGCAAAAGCUCAGAUUUGAAAGCUGGUAUCUUUGAUGCUCGCAUUGUAAUCUGUAGAGGAGUGUUCAAGUAUAGCUUUGACCCAAGUUCUUUGGAACAGGACGUCAUGGAGGGUGAGAAUCCCGUUCAUGGUUGUUGUCUUAUGCUUAUGUGAAUCUCCUUCAAUGAGUCGAGUUGUUUGGGAAUGCAGCUCUAAAUGGGUGGUAUAUUUCAUCUAAAGCUAAAUAUCAGCAGGAGACCGAUAGUGCACAAGUAGAGUGAUCGAAAGAUGAAAAGAACUUUGGAAAGAGAGUCAAACAGUACGUGAAAUUGUUGAAAGGGAAGCACUUGCACCCAGACUUGCUUACAGUUGAUCAAUCAUCAUUUUUGAUGGUGCACUCAAUUGUUAGCAGGCCAGUAUCAGUUAGAGUGGUGGGGCAAAGGUGUUGAGAAUAUAGCUCCUUCGGGAGUGUUAUAGCUCUUCAUGUCAUGUCAUCUGCUCUGACUGAGGUUCGCACUUCGGUGAGGAUGCUGGCGUAAUGGGUGCAAGUGACCCGUCUUGAAACACGGACCAAGGAGUCUAACAGUUGUGCAAGUGUUUGGGUAGAAAACCCUUAUGCGUAAUGAAAGUAAAUGGAGGUGAGAACCGCAAGGUGCAUCAUCGACCGAUCCUGAUGUCUUCAGAUGGAUUUGAGUAAGAGCAUAGCUGUUGGGACCCGAAAGAUGGUGAACUAUGCCUGAAUAGGGUGAAGCCAGAGGAAACUCUGGUGGAGGCUCGCAGCGGUUCUGACGUGCAAAUCGAUCGUCAAAUUUGGGUAUAGGGGCGAAAGACUAAUCGAACCUCUAGAGUGUCCGAGAGUCUACU
rnacentral:rRNA from 1 species